CCUCUGUAUUCUUGAUUCAUUAAGUUGAUAAUAACUGCACAACUUGGACAUAUCAUGUAUGGCUCGAGCUCCAUAGGCAGUGACUACCUGGCUAGAUAAGCCAUGAAUGGUUUAUUGUUUUUUUAGCUGUACAGUAGGACAAAGCCCUGCUGCAACUUUUCUUUAUUUAUUUUGGCUUUGUAUUGGAAUGAACCAUUUAAAUAUUGCAAUUGCAUCCCCAAUCCCCUUUUUUCCUCUUGAAUCUACUAUGUUUUUCCUGAAUCUUUAAUUUGAUCUCCCUCUUUGUCAAAGUCAUCCCUCAUGAUUGUUGCAUGCACCUAUGAUUGAUUUUGUCUCUGCAUACAGUCUUUAGGUUGGUGAUCUUCUGACCCUCCUUAGUGCCUUUUGUUUUGGAAUUCACAUGCUCAGAAUCGAGCAUAUUUCCAGGAAAAUGAAGAAAGAAAAUUUCCUAGCCCU
rnacentral:lncRNA from 1 species